rnacentral:rRNA from 1 species
AGAGUUUGAUCCUGGCUCAGGAUGAACGCUGGCGGUAUGCUUAACACAUGCAAGUCGAACGGGAUGCUUAGGCAUCUAGUGGCGGACGGGUGAGUAACGCGUGAGAAUCUGGCUCCAGGUCGGGGAUAACAGUUGGAAACGACUGCUAAUACCGGAUGUGCCGAGAGGUGAAAGAUUUAUCGCCUGGAGAUGAGCUCGCGUCUGAUUAGCUAGUUGGCGGUGUAAGGGACCACCAAGGCGUCGAUCAGUAGCUGGUCUGAGAGGAUGAUCAGCCACACUGGGACUGAGACACGGCCCAGACUCCUACGGGAGGCAGCAGUGGGGAAUUUUCCGCAAUGGGCGAAAGCCUGACGGAGCAAUACCGCGUGAGGGAGGAAGGCUCUUGGGUCGUAAACCUCUUUUCUCAAGGAAGAAGAAAGUGACGGUACUUGAGGAAUAAGCAUCGGCUAACUCCGUGCCAGCAGCCGCGGUAAUACGGAGGAUGCAAGCGUUAUCCGGAAUGAUUGGGCGUAAAGGGUCUGCAGGUGGAACUGAAAGUCUGCUGUUAAAGAGUUUGGCUUAACCAAAUAAAAGCGGUGGAAACUACAGAACUAGAGUGCGGUAGGGGCAAAAGGAAUUCCUGGUGUAGCGGUGAAAUGCGUAGAUAUCAGGAAGAACACCGGUGGCGAAAGCGUUUUGCUAGACCGUAACUGACACUGAGGGACGAAAGCUAGGGGAGCGAAUGGGAUUAGAUACCCCAGUAGUCCUAGCCGUAAACGAUGGAUACUAGGCGUGGCUUGUAUCGACCCGAGCCGUGCCGGAGCUAACGCGUUAAGUAUCCCGCCUGGGGAGUACGCACGCAAGUGUGAAACUCAAAGGAAUUGACGGGGGCCCGCACAAGCGGUGGAGUAUGUGGUUUAAUUCGAUGCAACGCGAAGAACCUUACCAAGACUUGACAUCCUGCGAAUCCUGGUGAAAGCUGGGAGUGCCUUAGGGAGCGCAGAGACAGGUGGUGCAUGGCUGUCGUCAGCUCGUGUCGUGAGAUGUUGGGUUAAGUCCCGCAACGAGCGCAACCCUCGUUUUUAGUUGCCAGCAUUAAGUUGGGCACUCUAGAGAGACUGCCGGUGACAAACCGGAGGAAGGUGGGGAUGACGUCAAGUCAGCAUGCCCCUUACGUCUUGGGCUACACACGUACUACAAUGCUACGGACAGAGGGCAGCGAGCCAGGGAUGGCAAGCGAAUCCAGAAACCGUAGCUCAGUUCAGAUCGAAGGCUGCAACUCGCCUUCGUGAAGGAGGAAUCGCUAGUAAUUGCAGGUCAGCAUACUGCAGUGAAUUCGUUCCCGGGCCUUGUACACACCGCCUGGGGAGUACGCACGCAAGUGUGAAACUCAAAGGAAUUGACGGGGGCCCGCACAAGCGGUGGAGUAUGUGGUUUAAUUCGAUGCAACGCGAAGAACCUUACCAA